rnacentral:rRNA from 1 species
AUGGGGGAGCAACGGGGAGAGGAACGUGAGGCUAUGGGGAGCUCUCUCGCUCUCGGAUUCCUCGCUUGCGUUUGGGGGAGAUGCUAUUUUUUUAGGGUGAUGGGUCGGAGAUUGGUAUCUCAUCCCCGGGCGGCCGAGAGAUGCUCUGCCUUGGCGUGCGGACAGGCGUUUCACUGUUUUUGUUUGUCGAAUUUUUGGGGUCGAGCUCUGGGAGGCGAGAUGGCGUCAGAGGAGAAAUGCCGCUCAGUGGUGGUGUCAUGUGUGGCGGCUCUGAUGCGAAAGGCAACAGAGCUAUGGAUGAUGCGAGCUCGCAGGGGCAGCUCCUGCCUCUGGGUUUUGGCUGGACUGGAGAGACAGAGAGUGUAUGUCCUAUUCCUCGAGCAUAAGCGGAUACGGAUUUAA